rnacentral:rRNA from 1 species
AUUGAACGCUGGCGGCAUGCCUUACACAUGCAAGUCGAACGGCAGCACGGGAGCUUGCUCCUGGUGGCGAGUGGCGAACGGGUGAGUAAAGUAUCGGAACAUGCCCUGAAGUGGGGGAUAACGUAGCGAAAGUUACGCUAAUACCGCAUAUUCUGUGAGCAGGAAAGCAGGGGAUCGCAAGACCUUGCGCUUUAGGAGUGGCCGAUAUCGGAUUAGCUAGUUGGUGAGGUAAAGGCUCACCAAGGCGACGAUCCGUAGCGGGGCUGAGAGGAUGAUCCGCACAACUGGGACUGAGACCCGGCCCAGACUCCUACGGGAGGCAGCAGUGGGGAAUUUUGGACAAUGGGCGAAAGCCUGAUCCAGCCAUGCCGCGUGAGUGAAGAAGGCCUUCGGGUUGUAAAGCUCUUUCGGCGGGGAAGAAAUGGCGCUUUCUAAUACAGGGCGUUGAUGACGGUACCCGCAUAAGAAGCACCGGCUAACUACGUGCCAGCAGCCGCCGUAA